UGAGGAAUGAAACUUCAGGGACUUCAAACUCAGAUGUUCUGGAUGAAGUGACUCCAUCUCUCCAGCUCUCAGAUCAGUUGUGGUGGCUGUUUGCUCUCUUCAUUAUCAUCUUCAUCAUCUUCAUCUGUUUCAUGCUGCGUAAAAGGAUCUUCAGGCGAGUCCAGACUGAUCUUUCCUUACAUCAUACUUUAGUCUUUACAUCUGACACUAGU